GAUGAACGCUGGCGGCGUGCUUAACACAUGCAAGUCGAACGGUGAAGCAGGAGCUUGCUCUUGUGGAUCAGUGGCGAACGGGUGAGUAACACGUGAGCAACCUGCCCCUGACUCUGGGAUAAGCGCUGGAAACGGCGUCUAAUACUGGAUAUGUGAUGUGACCGCAUGGUCUGCAUCUGGAAAGUAUUUCGGUUGGGGAUGGGCGCGCGGCCUAUCAGCUUGUUGGUAAGGUAAUGGCUCACCAAGGCGUCGACGGGUAGCCGGCCUGAGAGGGUGACCGGCCACACUGGGACUGAGACACGGCCCAGACUCCUACGGGAGGCAGCAGUGGGGAAUAUUGCACAAUGGGCGGAAGCCUGGUGCAGCAACGCCGCGUGAGGGAUGACGGCCUUCGGGUUGUAAACCUCUUUUAGCAGGGAAGAAGCGAAAGUGACGGUACCUGCAGAAAAAGCACCGGCUAACUACGUGCCAGCCGCCGCAGUAA
rnacentral:rRNA from 1 species